rnacentral:rRNA from 1 species
GGCGAUCAGAUACCGCCCUAGUUCUGACCGUAAACGAUGCCAACUAGCGAUCCGCCAGUCGACUCAUCGCUCUGGUGGGGAGCUUCCCGGAAACGAAAGUCUUCCGGUUCCGGGGGAAGUAUGGUUGCAAAGCUGAAACUUAAAGGAAUUGACGGAAGGGCACCACCAGGAGUGGAGCCUGCGGCUUAAUUUGACUCAACACGGGGAAACUCACCCGGCCCGGACACCGUAAGGAUUGACAGAUUGAUAGCUUUUUCAUGAUUCGGUGGAUGGUGGUGCAUGGCCGUCCUUAGUUCGUGGAGCGAUUUGUCUGGUUUAUUCCGAUAACGAGCGAGACUCUGGCCUACUAAAUAGUUGACGCAUUGCCACUGUGCGCACAACUUCUUAGAGGGAUUUUCGGUGUUUUCAACCGCACGAAAUUGAGCAAUAAUAGGUCUGUGAUGCCCUUAGAUGUCCGGGGCUGCACGCGCGCUACACUGGCAAACGCAACGUGCCUGUCCUGCCCCGAAAGGAGCGGGUAAACCCCUGAAAUUUUGCCGUGAUUGGGAUCGGACAUUGCAACUAUUGUCCGUGAACGAGGAAUUCCUUGUAGGGGCGAGUCAUCAACUCGUCCCGAAUACGUCCCUGCCCUUUGUA